UCCCAGACUCCUACGGGAGGCAGCAGUGGGGAAUACUGCACAAUGGGGGAAACCCUGAUGCAGCAACGCCGCGUGAGUGAAGAAGUCAUUCGUGAUGUAAAGCUCUCUCAGCAGGGAAGAAAAUGACGGUACCUGAGUAAGAAGCCCCGGCUAACUACGUGCCAGCAGCCGCGGUAAUACGUAGGGGGCAAGCGUUAUCCGGAUUUACUGGGUGUAAAGGGAGCGUAGACGGCAGUGCAAGUCCGGAGUGAAAGCCCGGGGCUCAACCCUGGGACUGCUCUGGAAACUGUAAAGCUGGAGUGCGGGAGGGGCAGGCGGAAUUCCUGGUGUAGCGGUGAAAUGCGUAGAUAUCAGGAGGAACACCGGCGGCGAAGGCGGCCUGCUGGACCGUAACUGACGUUGAGGCUCGAAAGCGUGGGGAGCAAACAGGAUUAGAUACCCUGGUAC
rnacentral:rRNA from 1 species